rnacentral:snoRNA from 1 species
ACCUCAUGAUUUGGGCAUUGGGCUAGCUUUCCAUUAAGCCUCUCCUAUGCUUCAAACAAUGGUUCUCCAUUCAAUUGCUGGAAGUUUACAAUCUCAUCCCGCUUUUGAAGUA